AGCUACUCUAAAGCAACCUCACAGGGCCAACCCGUCUCUGUAGCAAAAGAGUGGGAAGACUUUAGGGUAGAGGCGAUAAACCUACCGAGCUUAGAGAUAGCUGGUUAUUCAAGAAAAGGAUCUUAGUCCACCUUUAAGUUUUUCAAGUACCCCAAACAUCCUUAAACACCCCAUAAACUUAAAAGCCAUUCAAACAAGGUACAGCCUGUUUGAAAAAGGGAACAGCCUACGACACAGGGUAACGGUUUACCUAAUGUGACCAAGUUGGCCUAAAAGCAGCCAUCUUCCAAAGAGCGUCCAAGCUUUAUCACAAACCCCUCACUAAUCCCAAAAUUAACCCACAACCCCCAACCACUACUGAAUCUCCCCAUACCCCUUAUGGGUGAUAUCAUGCUAGAACUAGUAAAAAGAAAAAGCCCUUCUCCAAAAUGUAAACGUAAGCCAAAAUGAACACUCACCGGCAAUUACCGCCAUAAACCUGCAGUAUCAACAUUACAAGAAAAUUAUACUCCAACUGACGUCAACCUUACACCAGAACAUUCCUGUGAAAG
rnacentral:rRNA from 1 species